ACGAGCAGCUUCAGCUCUAUGGCAACGUCAUCCGUGUUGCGUAUGCGCGUGCGCUCCUCGCCUGUCUACGGCGUUUAUGUUUGUGUGCGUGUGUUUGAGUCUGCUUUACCGAACCGAAUUAGCGCGUUUGUUACGGUUCCGACCCGCUGAGGCGCGCGACAUGGCGGCGGCGGCGGCCCCAAACUCGAGCCCGAGCUCGAACUCGAAUUCAGGCCGGAGCUCAGGUUCGAGUUCAGGCGUGAGCCCGGAGGAGGCGCACCGGCCCGCGGCGGCGGCUUUGGCAAGCGACGGUGAACCGGAGGAGGCCGAGCAGUUCUCCUCAGCGCUGCACUGCUCGGAGCUCGCGCGGCGACAGAACGAGCAGCGGAAACUCGGGCUGUUCUGCGACGUCACGCUGGCGUUCAGCGGCGGAGGAGCGGCCGGCGGCGGAGGAGGAGGAGGAGGAGAAGGCGCAGGCAGUGGGUUCGAGCUCGGCGCGCACCGGUCCGUGCUUGCAGCCGCCACUGAUUACUUCACGCCGCUGCUCGGGGGCCAGUUCUCAGAGUCUGUGUCACGGCGCGUGGAGAUGAAGGAGUGGAGCAGCGAGACGGGGCCCGAGCGCGAGACCGUCGAGAGUGUCGUGCAGUUCAUGUACACCGGAGAGAUUCGCGUCAGCACGAGCAACGUGCACGAGGUGCUGGAGCUCGCGGACAGGUUCCUGCUGGUGCAGCUGAAGGAGUUCUGUGGGGAUUUUCUGAAGCGGAAGCUUAGCCUGGCGAACUGCGUGGCCGUGCACAGCCUGGCACACAUGUACACGCUGGACCAGCUGGCGUUACGCGCUGCCGAAAUGAUACGCCGCAACUUCCACAGGGUGAUCCAAGAUGACGAGUUCUACACGCUCCCUUUCCACCUGGUGCGUGACUGGUUGAGCGACGCCGAGAUCACCGUUGACUCUGAGGAGAUUUUGUUUGACGCUGUUGUCAAGUGGGUGCAUCGAGGCACUGAGGACCGCGAGAGGCACUUUGAGGAGCUUUUCCGCCUCCUUAGGCUGCCUCAGAUCAAACCCACUUACCUGACAAGGGUAGUGAAGAACGAGCCACUUGUGGCACGGAACGAGGCGUGUCUCAAGCUCGUCUCAGAUGCUGUAGAAAGUCAUGCCAUCCGUUUCGAGAACCAUAAAAAGUCAGCGUCCGAUACGGAAUUCUGGGCUGCUUUCCAGCCUCGGUUUGGACAAAACAUGGAUGUCAUCAUGGUGGUUGGCGGCGUUUCGGAAGGAGGCGACUACCUCAGCGAGUGUGUCGGGUAUUUUGUGUACGAAGAUCGUUGGGUGAACCUUCCACACAUUCAUAAUCACCUUGAUGGCCACGCGAUCGCAGUAACGGAUUCAUAUGUCUACGUCGCAGGAUCGAUGGAGCCAGGAUUCGCCAAAACGGUGGAAAGAUACAAUCCAAAUCGUAACACUUGGGAACAAGUGAGCAACCUCACGACGCGUAAGCACUCGUUCGGCCUGACGUGCGUCAAAAAUAUUCUCUACAGCAUUGGAGGGCAUGGGAAUUUCAGCCCGGGAUUCAAGGAUGUAAGCGUUUACGAACCGGAGCAGGACAAAUGGCACAACCUGGAAUCUGCACCAAAAAUCUUGCGAGACGUGAAAGCGAUAAGCGUUGAAGAUCGCUACGUUUAUGUAACGGCGAGGACACCUGUGGAUACAGACAACGAUGAUGGGCUGAAGACAGUGACAACACGAUAUGACACAGAGAGCCGUCAGUGGCAGGAGGUUGAUUCUUUGCCCCUGAUUGACAAUUACUGCCUCUUCCAGAUGGCUGUGGCAUCCACUAAUUUUUACCACACCGCAUCCUGCUGCCCGAGAAGCUACACUAAUGUCCGAGAUGAAGCCGCACGGCAGAAAAUUAGUGCCCGAAUCUCAGAUGAGAUUCUCGAAAGCCUUCCUCCGGAGGUAACCAGUGUCGAAGGAGCUGCCGUGUGCUUCCUCGGAGACGACGUGUUUGUCAUCGGUGGCUGGAAAAACAGCGAUGAUGUGGACAAACAGUACCGAAAAGAGGCGUACCGGUACUGUGCUGAGAGGAAACGAUGGAUGCUGCUUCCUCCAAUGCCGCAGCCUCGUUGCCGGGCGACGGCGUGCCACGUCCGUAUCCCUUACCGCUUCCUGUAUGGGUGCCAGAGGUACCCGAUGCCGCAGAAUUUAGCGCGACAGCGAGACCGGAUGCAGCAGAUGCAGCAGCUUCACCGGCGCACACUCACCCUGCGCAGGCAGCUGCAGUCCCAGAUCGAAUGCUGAAGGAAUAAACAAUGAUGGUCAUGUUAUGGGUUCAAGCUAAAGGAAGAAAGUCCUCUGGGCCACCAGGUGGUGAUGAGGAGCUGCUGUGAGUUUGUGAAUACCUUUAACAUCAUUUUGGUCCAGCUUUCAUCUUUUCACAGAGGAAACAGAGAUCGUGUUUGUGCUGAAAGUGACGGCACAAACAGAUGCUGGAAAAGGUCAUCCAGACCACAUGGAGGCGCUGAUGAAUGAAGAGAGAUGAGAUCAAGUUCUGCCAUUUUCAGUGUAUUUACACUUCUUUAUAUAUUUAUUUGUCAACUUUUUUUGGAUUCUGAGAAUGAAAUAGAAGCCACAGUUGAAUGUAUUAUGAGCGCUGCAGGUUGGACUGAAUCAGGUCCACUGGGGGGGUCAACAGUGAAUACAGAGCUAUAAAUAACAUUCCACCAUUACGGGUUUCAUGUUGUGUUCCGUAUAGAGAAUGACCAAUAUCAAAAUUCUGUUGCUUUGAGGAGCUAAAAAUUCUUUAAAUUUACCCGAGAAACUUUAGGUUUUUAGGCAAACUCGUAAACAACAAUGACAAAACCUCUGAACGUAGCUGGAGUGGUUUUGCUUAAAUGUCAAGACAUGGCGAGUUUAAAUCCUGAUGAUGUCACUGUCGUCCACCUGCAUCGUUAUACAGCAUCACUUACUGCGAGUGGCUAGCCGUGACCCUAAUGUUAGUGCCUGUACUGUGUUUGAUUGACCGUAUGAGUCCAUGAAAAGCUCUUGUCUAACAGUCAGGCUGUAGCUUUUUCAGUUUCAGCUAAGAAUGUGAGUUUAUGUAUAUUUUACAAUGUAUAGUAAAGCCAUCAUUCGCUCUAUUAUUUUCUUAUACAUUUUUGUCUGAUGCUCCUUCCGGCCACUAGAGGGCAUUAAAGAUCUGACAAUGUUCAGCUAUUACCCAAUACAUCAUGAGCUGCGUGUUCAGACCUGCCAAUUAUUCCACGUUUUGUGUAGAAACGCCACGUUUUAAUGAAUGAAGAAUGCGUAUCAAAAUCGUCCUCUUGUAGUCGGCAGGUCUGAAUAGUUCAUAUUUAUUUCAUAUUUUUUCUGUGUGUAAGUUAAGGGGCGGGGUUUGUACAGAGGAAGUGAUGAUGUGUGUUUAGUGGUGUGUAUAAUAACUGUAUUAUAUAAUGUACAGGAAGGACCGACUCCCGAGCUCACGUGUAUCGUCCGUAUCGCUGUAUGUGGUGUUCACUUGGGAUUUGUGAAGCGUCGCUUUAUCGGCUUGCUUCGGCUUUUUGCCUUAAUUUUGCGUCAAAUGAAGAACCAGCAUCGCCGUGGAUGAUGAUCUGCUGUGCUGUGAGACAGUGGAAGUAUUCCGGAGACACCAGAGCCAGCCGCACCUGAUCUCACAGCACAGACGCCGCAACAUGAAAGGUCAGAGGUUUUGGUUAGAAAGUGCAACAAAAACGUGGACUAUUGUAGGAUAAUAUGGAAAUGGACUCGGAUUCAUACCCUGUUUUUCACACUGGGUGAUUUUCCUGAACUUUAAGAUUAUUAUGUGUCAAACUGAACAAGAUCCUAAUAAAAUCUCUGACUGUGACAUAAAUUCGUAAAAAAAAAAAAACCCAGGAGGUUUUCAGAAUAAGGAGGUUUUACUGGCCAUGUUUUGUUUACUACCAUCACCACUACAUAUUUAUAGCUGGCCACUAGAAUUUGCUGCCUUCCUGUUGGUCUUUCUAGACAAGUGUGACUAUAAUCAACCUUUCGUUUCGGUUUCACUAAAUUGCUCAGAUUAUGCAUCCAAAAUCUUAGGUUAUGACCAAAUAAUCUUCUACAAUGUGUUUUUUCUGCAGUAUCAAAAUCAGCUUAACUAAAUUAGGACCUAUCAUUGGAACCCUAACUGUGAGUCUACUGUCUGGUUUCAGUUCCCUUCAAAUUUGUACUGAGGAAUGGUCAGGCUGGUCUGUUCGAGUGUAUUGACACCAACCUUUGGCAACAGGUUCACGAUGUGCUGCUUUCGGACGCUGGGUUCAUGCCUAACCCACAGGAUUAUAGCUUCGAAAGCUGUUUUCUCCUCCUUGAUAUUCAGCUCAUCCUUCCCCAGGAGGUCACAGAGCUGCUCCACGGUCAGGUCCAAGAGCUUUCCGGACGGUGAAUAAACAACAUCUUCGAAGUGAUACAGCACAUACUUGUAGGCCUUAUCCCGCAGCUCGUAAUACAAGUGAGCAUCAGCAUACUGCCAAAUUCUUAGGCAGUUAUCCGGGCUGAGAUUUUCCUGUAGGAAUUCACAGCAGCUCCUUGCAAGGUCUUGGAUGAGCAGGCAAUUGGCCAUGGCCAGGAGAGUCUCCACUUCAUCAGUGGUGGCUUGGAUGUCCUGCGUGUACAUGUAGUGGAUUAUAAGAGCCAUGAUUUCUGGCGAUAUACCAGUGAUGUUGUACACUCUUUGAUCCAGACUGCUCAAGCUAGUAAACAGAUCUCUGCAAGAGAAGAAAAUAUAUUAGGAAAAAUAUCCACAGUGGAGAGUUUGUGAUAUAGACUGAAAUCCUGAUGAUGUGGAAGCUGCAGGCAGGUGUUUGAGAGAGUUUAAAUGGAGGGCGUUCCUCUAGCCUGUCAAUCAGAGCGACGAUAGCCAAUCAAACGUGUAGCUUAUGUACUGUGCAGACACAUCCAGCAGAGGCUGGUCUCAGUGUAGGAAAUGGUGCUGUUGAUGAUGUUAUUCGUGUGAGAGUUAAAACUUUAAGAGCUGAUCUUUUUGAGCAGAAUACAGACUAAAACACUAAAGCACCGCUGCAUCGGUCUCUAGGUAAAGAUGAAGUGAUGUAUAAAUCCCACUGCACCCUAUAGUCGCACAGCAUUCUGGGUAAUGUACGUAAUGACCCCAUUACCCAACAUGAAGAUUAAUAGCCUAAAUAGUCAUUAAGGAUGGACUUUUCCUACAGAGGUACUCCAGUGUCAUUUGGUUAUAAUCUAUGUAAAGAGUGUGUAAAGUGAAGAGGAAGUGGUUUGGGAUGUGACGUGUAUUAAGAGCAAUAAUUAGAUAACACCAAUAAAAAUACAUUUUAAUUCUACUUCAGACUCUAUAAUGAAUUAUUCAGCAAGUACAGAACAUUAUAAAUA